rnacentral:rRNA from 1 species
CCUACGGGGGGCUGCAGUGGGGAAUAUUACACAAUGGGGGAAACCCUGAUGCAGCGACGCCGCGUGAAGGAAGAAUGUCUUCGGAUCGUAAAAUUCUAUCAGCAGGGAAGAAGGAAGUGACGGUACCUGACUAAGAAGCACCGGCUAACUACGUGCCAGCAGCCGCGGUAAUACGUAUGGGGCAAGCGUUAUACGGAAUCACUGGGUGUUAAGGGUGCGUAGGCGGUAGGGCAAGUCAGAUGGGAAAGUCCGGAGCUUAACUCCGGGAUUGCAUUUGAAACUGUCUUACUAGAGUGCAGGAGAGGAAAGCGGAAUUCCUAGUGGAGCGGUGAAAUGCGUAGAUAUUAGGAAGAACACCAGUGGCGAAGGCGGCUUUCUGGACUGUAACUGACGCUGAGGCACGAAAGCGUGGAGAGCGAACAGGAUUAGAUACCCUAGUAGUC